rnacentral:rRNA from 1 species
AUUGAACGCUGGCGGCAUGCUUUACACAUGCAAGUCGAACGGUAACAGGUCUCCAGAUGCUGACGAGUGGCGAACGGGUGAGUAAUACAUCGGAACGUGCCUAGUAGUGGGGGAUAACUACUCGAAAGAGUAGCUAAUACCGCAUGAGAUCUACGGAUGAAAGCAGGGGACCUUCGGGCCUUGUGCUACUAGAGCGGCUGAUGGCAGAUUAGGUAGUUGGUGGGGUAAAGGCUUACCAAGCCUGCGAUCUGUAGCUGGUCUGAGAGGACGACCAGCCACACUGGGACUGAGACACGGCCCAGACUCCUACGGGAGGCAGCAGUGGGGAAUUUUGGACAAUGGGCGAAAGCCUGAUCCAGCAAUGCCGCGUGCAGGAUGAAGGCCCUCGGGUUGUAAACUGCUUUUGUACGGAACGAAAAGCCUGGGGCUAAUAUCCCCGGGUCAUGACGGUACCGUAAGAAUAAGCACCGGCUAACUACGUGCCAGCCGCCGCCGUAACAC